rnacentral:rRNA from 1 species
AGUGAACGCUGGCGGUAGGCCUAACACAUGCCAGUCGAACGGCAGCACAGUAAGAGCUUGCUCUUACGGGUGGCGAGUGGCGUACGGGUGAGGAAUAUAUCGUACUCUACUUUUUCGUGGGGGAUAACGUAGGGAAACUUACUCUAAUACCGCAUACGACCUACGGGUGAAAGCAGGGGAUCUUCGCACCUUGCGCGAUUGAAUGAGCGGAUGUCGGAUUAGCUAGUUGGCGGGGUAAAGGCCCACCAAGGCGACGAUCCGUAGCUGGUCUGAGAGGAGGAUCAGCGACACUGGAACUGAGACACGGUCCAGACUCCUACGGGAGGCAGCAGUGGGGAAUAGUGGACAAUGGGCGCAAGCCUGAUCCAGCCAUACCGCGUGGGUGAAGAAGGCCUUCGGGUUGGAAAGCCCUUUUGUUGGGAAAGAAAAGCAGCAGGUUAAUACCCCGCUGUUCUGACGGUACCCAAAGAAUAAGCACCGGCUAACUUCGUG